CCUACGGGUGGCUGCAGUGAGGAAUAUUGGUCAAUGGACGAGAGUCUGAACCAGCCAAGUAGCGUGAAGGAUGACUGCCCUAUGGGUUGUAAACUUCUUUUAUAUGGGAAUAAAACGUUCCACGUGUGGGAUUUUGUAUGUACCAUAUGAAUAAGGAUCGGCUAACUCCGGGCCAGCAGCCGCGGUAAUACGGAGGAUCCGAGCGUUAUCCGGAUUUAUUGGGUUUAAAGGGAGCGUAGGUGGAUUGUUAAGUCAGUUGUGAAAGUUUGCGGCUCAACCGUAAAAUUGCAGUUGAAACCGGCAGUCUUGAGUACAGUAGAGGUGGGCGGAAUUCGUGGUGUAGCGGUGAAAUGCUUAGAUAUCACGAAGAACUCCGAUUGCGAAGGCAGUUCACUGGACUGCAACUGACACUGAGGCUCGAAAGUGUGGGUAUCAAACAGGAUUAGAUACCCCAGUAGUC
rnacentral:rRNA from 1 species